UACAAACUCCAACCCUUUUAGUAUAAACAAAAAAAAAAUGCUACCCACUUCUAUAAGAGUCCACGAAACCGGAUCCGCAAGAACCGAAGGAUUUUACAAGCUUACUGCAACCGAAAAAUCCUUCUUUGCCCCUAAAAACUCCUUUUUUGUUUCCCAACAAACUUUAUUAAGCGGCGGGCCCGUUUAUCAAUCGAAUCGAGACGUUCGAGCUUUAACAAGAACUAUUGGCGCUUCUUCAGAGCAUGUUGAGUGGUCGAGCAAAAGGAAGAAAAAAUUGCGAUUUGGACGGUCAACUAUUCAUGGGACUGGCUUGUUUGCUUUAGAAGUUAUUGAACCUAAUGAGUUUGUUCUGGAAUAUACUGGAGAAAUUAUAAGGAAAAUUGUAGCCACUAAGCGGGAGGCUUUGUA